AGGCCCAGAAGCAGGACAAUCACUGCCAUCUCUAUUUUGUCCCUUUUCUCUUGUCGCAUUCGGCUCUCUUUCUUUUUUGCUUCUGUUUCCUGUAACCAAACGAAAUGGGCCAGGCUUUUUGUUGCUCAAAACUACGUGAAUUUUCAGUCUCACCAGGGCAGGCGGGUGCUCCAGGACCAUGAACUCAAAAAGUUUCGUCUUCUCCCACAUCCUGGUGGACGAUGCUUUCGUCCUCAGACCAUUCUCUCAAGAGAAUUUGAGAAUUACUUUCUAUGUGCAUCGGGUUUGUUCGUUAACAUUCAUGUGUGUCUCCGCUUUUCUGAAGAGCGUUUCUGGUUUCUUGGUCGGCGUUGAUUCCUCUGCACUGAAAUCCAUGUUCCAGUGUGAAAAUAUCAUCUCCCAUGCUACGAGGCAGUUCCUUCUUAUUCUUCAAAUGAGCACAUAUUGUACUCAUUUGUUAAAGAUUGUUAUAGAAGCACGACGCGACCGUGCAAGAACUUCCAUGACUGAGGAGCUAGCAUCAGACAAUCAAUAUUAUAGAAUUCUCAUAUCCAAAUGGGGGAUGUAAUGGCUUUUCUUUGUUAUUUGGGUUUCCACGAUGCAGAUUAAUACAAAAUAGAAGAAAAAUCUUCUCCACAGGCUGUCACUCUUUUUUCUUA